rnacentral:rRNA from 1 species
AUGUCCGGGCGCGGCAAGGGAGGCAAGGGGCUGGGCAAGGGCGGCGCCAAGCGCCACCGGAAGGUCCUCCGCGACAACAUCCAGGGCAUCACCAAGCCGGCGAUCCGGAGGCUGGCGAGGAGGGGCGGCGUGAAGCGCAUCUCCGGCCUCAUCUACGAGGAGACCCGCGGCGUCCUCAAGAUCUUCCUCGAGAACGUCAUCCGCGACGCCGUCACCUACACCGAGCACGCCCGCCGCAAGACCGUCACAGCCAUGGACGUCGUCUACGCGCUCAAGCGCCAGGGCCGCACCCUCUACGGCUUCGGAGGCUAG